AUUGCCCUAGUAACGGCGAGUGAAGCGGCAACAGCUCAAAUUUGAAAUCUGGCUCUUUCAGAGUCCGAGUUGUAAUUUGCAGAGGGCGCUUUGGCGUUGGCAGCGGUCCAAGUUCUUUGGAACAGGACGUCACAGAGGGUGAGAAUCCCGUACGUGGUCGCUAGCCUUCGCCGUGUAAAGCCCCUUCAAUGAGUCGAGUUGUUUGGGAAUGCAGCUCUAAAUGGGAGGUAAAUUUCUUCUAAAGCUAAAUACUGGCCAGAGACCGAUAGCGCACAAGUAGAGUGAUCGAAAGAUGAAAAGUACUUUGGAAAGAGAGUCAAAUAGCACGUGAAAUUGUUGAAAGGGAAGCGCUUGCAGCCAGACUUGCCUGUAGUUGCUUAUCCAGACUUUUGUCUGGUGCACUCUUCUGCGGGCAGGCCAGCAUCAGUUUGGGCGGUUGGAUAAAGGUCUCUGUCAUGUACCUCUCUUCGGGGAGGCCUUAUAGGGGAGACGUCAUGCAACCAGCCUGGACUGAGGUCCGCGCAUCUGCUAGGAUGCUGGCGUAAUGGCUGUAAGCGGCCC
rnacentral:rRNA from 1 species